rnacentral:misc_RNA from 1 species
CUCGAACGAAGUGGGUGUACAUUCUGACAGAAAUUAUUUUGUGAACACUAGGACAGUGUGGUAUGAAGUGUGUUAUAAUAACUUUUGAGUAGUGGUUGUAUAUGCGUCACAUUAUUUUGUGGACACGAAGUGAAACGAGGAAGAAUAUGUAGACAUAAGAACCAAUUAACGGAGAAAAUGGCUAACGGAGCUACGUUAGUUUUCGUAAUUACCAUCGUGCUACACGUGGUAGUGGCUAAGUACGUAAUUAACACCAAAAGUGAUAACAUAUCGUACAAUGAAAGUGUG